UACGUAGGUGGCAAGCGUUGUCCGGAUUUACUGGGCGUAAAGAGCGCGCAGGCGGUCGUUCAAGUCGCGUGUGAAAGCCCCCGGCUCAACUGGGGAGGGUCACGCGAUACUGAUCGACUCGAAGGCAGGAGAGGGUAGUGGAAUUCCCGGUGUAGUGGUGAAAUGCGUAGAUAUCGAGAGGAACACCUGCGGCGAAGGCGGGUUGCUGGGCUGACACUGACGCUGACAGCGCGAAAGCUAGGGGAGCGAACGGG
rnacentral:rRNA from 1 species